UAAUUAAUUCCUCAAAUGAUUAAAAAUCAUGCAGCGGAAAAUACAAAAAUAAUAUAAGUUUCAAAGUCAGAAUUGAAAAUACUGAAUCAAGUGACAUAGUUCAAUUGUUAUAAAAAUUUAACAACAUAAUUAAAUAAAAGUUUCUCCCAACAACAUCCUAACAGAGCGACUCCAAAUAAAUAGCAAAGCAACAGCGAUCCGAACACACCAUCUAUGAUUCGUAUGCUACCUGAAAAUCUACGGUUGC
rnacentral:lncRNA from 1 species